rnacentral:misc_RNA from 1 species
GAUGAAGAACGUAGCGAAAUGCGAUAAGUAAUGUGAAUUGCAGAAUUCAGUGAAUCAUCGAAUCUUUGAACGCACAUUGCGCCCGGCAGUACUCUGCCGGGCAUGCCUGUUCGAGCGUCAUUUCAACCCUCAAGCCCUGCUUGGUGUUGGGGCCCCACGGCUGCCGUGGGCCCUGAAAGGAAGUGGCGGGCUCGCUACAACUCCGAGCGUAGUAAUUCUUUAUCUCGCUUAGGGCGUUGGGCGGCGCUCCAGCCGUUAAAGAACCAUCUUUAACUCAAGGUUGACCUCGGAUCAGGUAGGAAUACCCGCUGAACUUAAGCAUAUCAAUAAGCGGAGGA